rnacentral:lncRNA from 10 species
GUUUUCUGCGGAGCUGGCAUUUGGGUUUGGAUUUAAAGGGCAAGAAGGAGCCAGACAAGCCAAGGUGUAAGAGAAGAGUCCUCCAAGCAGCAGGGAAGCAAGUGCAAAGGUCCUUGCAGAAGCGAGCUUGGCAUAUUAGAGGGACAGAGGGAGGCCGGAGCAACUGGAGGGUCUUCAGAGACUAUCAAGUGCCAACAAGGGGAUUACCCCUCUGCCCCUCUAAAGGAUUGCAAGAAAGAAGACACCAAAUCCAUGGCAUUUUUUCCCUUAGGAAAGAAGGGAGAUAAUGAGAAGCCUCCACUUGGUAUUCCUUGGAGCAGCUGGAAGCUAAAAACCAAAUGUGGGAACUGUGAAUCCUAUCUCUGGGAUAUGUUUUCUCAGGAAAUGGAGGAAAUGGGUGGGCACGGGUGGCAAAAUAUUCCAGGGGAAUACUUCUUCCUGGGCCUUGUGGGGAACAACUCCCAAAAGGCCAGUGGUUCUCAGCUUUAAGCCUGUGUUAGAAUCACCUGCAGGGCUUAUUAAAACACAGAUUGCCGGGCCUUACCCCCAGAGUUUGAUUUAGUAUUUCUGGGAGUUGGAUCUAUAAUUUGCAUUUCUGAAAGUUCCCAGGUGAUACUGAUGCUCCUGGUCCCAGGACCACAGACAAAUUCUCCUUCUUGUAGCCCCUCAUUCACUCUGCGUAGGAGGCAUGGCUCAUCUGGCUGGUGGGUUUGGGAGGAGGAGCAGACCAUGCUCAGUUAGCCCUCCCCACUCUCCCUUUCUCUCUCUCCCCAUCGCCCUAGCUGCAGAGCAUAUUCAGACAGCUCUCCAAUCAGUUCAUCAGUAAUAAAGGUGACAUGCUGAUCCUCAUCUGUUUUUCUCUUGCAUCUGCCAAUUGAUUCUGCACUUGAGAGGGGAAUAAGUAUAUUUAUUUAUUGGGUUUCCCUCAAAUUCCAACAGAGAAGUUGGUAUCAGUUGCAAAACAAUCAACUGGCAUCCGGGCCACACAGCAGCAUAGGAAUCUUGGUUUUAGCUUCCACUAAAAUAUCAAUUAUUUGAGGGCAAAAAAUGUCCAAUUCCUGGGCCUUUAAGAUAGGAAGUCAGGUCUGUGGAUGGGGUGAGGUCACCAGGAUGAGGUCACAAAGGCAUUGAUGCCCCUUUGUCCUAUCAUGUGACCACUUGUCACACUUCCAUCAAACAGUACCUGCCCCUUAGGUGUGCUAGGGAAUAAAUGAAAUGCCUGGGACAUCAUCGUUAAGUGGCAUCUGAUGCAUAAGCAGUGCCCUAGGAAUGGGGUUGCCUGCCUUGGUCUCUAAAGGAUGGGUUCAAAAGGCAAGAGCAGCACACAAGAAGAUAGCUUCAAGCAGGAGAUAAAGCUUGGCCCAGGGCCCAAAGGGGAUACGACCCUUCAGGUUGGCCCUGACCUCUGGGUUGGAUUACCAGUGACACAAUGAACAUUUCAUUAUGAGGCCAUCCCUUGAGCAAACUGACAUGCUGAAAGCUGCCCUAUGGAGAGGCUCAUGUGGCAAGGAACAGAGGGUGGCUUCUGGCCAACACCCAGUGAGGAACUCAGGCCCUCAGUCAAACAGCCUGCAAGGAACUGAACCCUGCCAAUAACCGCAGUGUCAGCCCCCGGCCAAUGACCACCAUGGACCUCCCUGUAGUUGAACAAAGUUGGGUUUGCUGACUGGUGGCAGUGAGGGAGAAUGCACACCACAGGGAGCUGUGCAGUGUCUCAGUAAGAAGCCAGGAGCCAUCCCGUGAGGCCGUUACUGCAAACAAGCUGAAAAUCCUGCUUUGUUUCUUUUGGACACAACAUGCUUUCCUUCAGCUUCAGUAGACGAUGAGGCCAGCACCACAUGGGCUAGAUGUACAUGAGAUGUGAGCAACCACACUUCCCCUCUGACGGGGACAGACAGCAUCACAGGACAUGAAGUUCUAAGAGGUUCAGUGACUUGUCUAAGAUUAAACAGCUAUGAAUGGAGAACUGGAGGCAAAUGAGGAUUCCCCAUUAAUGCCAUGAGUUCACUGCAGAGGUCAACACUGGGCAUACACUUCAAUCAUCCAUAAAGAAAAAUGGAGGCCUCAUCAUCUCUCACCUGGGCAACUGCAACAAUGAGCAGUUUGUGUCUGUGCCUGCAUCCAUCCUUCCAUCCUGUACUCCAGCAGCAGCCAGGGUGGUCUUUCAAAAAUGCAAAGCUGAUAAUGUUACUCCCCUGCUGUAAACCUUCCAGCGGUUUCCUAUUGCCUUCAGAAUAAAAUACGAAUCAUCUGGCCUCCAUCUAUCUCUCCAGGCUCAUCCUCUCUCAAUUUUCCAUAUCCUUCAGGCUGAGCUCUGAAACUUCUCCUGGCAGUUCAAGAGAGCGAUGGAGGGAAUGCUGGGGCACAUCUAAAUAAAGCCUCCAAGUGGGAGUUCCUGCUCAGCUAUGCAUGAGCUCUUUGUGACUUCAUCUCCCAGCCUACAACUUGUGAAAUAAGCACGACUUCACUCAGAGCACAGCCAGAAACAUACAAACUUUCCAAAAAUAUUUGAAUGUUGACAGCAGACUGUCUUGCAUUCCAGUGAAUAAUUGGUUUGUAUGAGUGUGUGUGUGACCUAAAUCCACAGAACUUACCAUUCUGUGGCUAUAC